GAUGAACGCUGGCGGCGUGCCUAAUACAUGCAAGUCGAGCGAACAGACGAGGAGCUUGCUCCUCUGACGUUAGCGGCGGACGGGUGAGUAACACGUGGAUAACCUACCUAUAAGACUGGGAUAACUUCGGGAAACCGGAGCUAAUACCGGAUAAUAUAUUGAACCGCAUGGUUCAAUAGUGAAAGACGGUUUUGCUGUCACUUAUAGAUGGAUCCGCGCCGCGUUAGCUAGUUGUUAAGGUAACGGCCUACCAAGGCAACGAUGCGUAGCCGACCUGAGAGGGGGAUAGGCCACACUGGAACUUAGACACGGACAAGACGCCUACGGGAGGCACCAGUAGCGUAUCUUCCGCAGUGGGCGAAAGCCUGACGGAGCAACGCCGAGUGAGUUAUGAAGGUCUUCGGAUCGUAAAACUCUGUUAUUAGUGAAAAACAAAUGUGUAAGUAACUAUGCACGUCUUGACGGUAACUAAUCAGAAAGCCACGGCUAACUACGUG
rnacentral:rRNA from 1 species